GAGGAAAAGAAGAAGCACCCGCUUCUCACCUGGUUGACGCAAAUCGUGUUGUUAACAGGUUUCAUGAUUUGAUUAUUUGGAAUGAUUCUAUCUAGUCUAUCUGUGUGGGUGUUUCUAUGCAUCCACACUUUUUUAUUGAU
rfam:Bacillus sp. MTM 13 22, whole genome shotgun sequence.